rnacentral:rRNA from 1 species
GUUUGAUCCUGGCUCAGAAUGAACGCUGGCGGCGUGCUUAACACAUGCAAGUCGCACGAGAACUCUUUAGCUUGCUAAAGAUAGUAAAGUGGCGCACGGGUGAGUAACGCGUGGGCAAUCUACCUCCGAAUUGGGGAUAACAUUGCGAAAGUGAUGCUAAUACCGGAUAAUAUCCCGAGAACUUAGGUUUUUGGGAUCAAAGGUGGCCUCUACAUGAAAGCUACUGUUUGGAGAUGAGCCCGCGUACCAUUAGCUUGUUGGUAGGGUAAUGGCCUACCAAGGCAACGAUGGUUAGCUGGUCUGAGAGGAUGAUCAGCCACACUGGAACUGACACACGGUCCAGACUCCUACGGGAGGCAGCAGUGAGGAAUUUUGCGCAAUGGGGGAAACCCUGACGCAGCAACGCCGCGUGAGUGAUGAAGGCUUUCGGGUCGUAAAGCUCUGUCAAGUGAGAAGAAUCUACUUUUUGUUAAUAUCAUUAAGUACUGACGGUAUCACUGAAGGAAGCACCGGCUAACUCCGUGCCAGCAGCCGCGGUAAUACGGGGGGUGCAAGCGUUAUUCGGAAUUAUUGGGCGUAAAGGGCGCGUAGGCGGUCUUUUAAGUCAGAUGUGAAAGCCCGGGGCUUAACCCUGGAAGUGCAUUUGAAACUGAAGGACUUGAGUAUGGGAGAGGGAAGUGGAAUUCCUGGUGUAGAGGUGAAAUUCGUAGAUAUCAGGAGGAACACCGGUGGCGAAGGCGACUUCCUGGACCAAUACUGACGCUGAGGCGCGAAGGCGUGGGGAGCAAACAGGAUUAGAUACCCUGGUAGUCCACGCAGUAAACGAUGAACACUAGGUGUAGCGGGUAUUGACCCCUGCUGUGCCGCAGUUAACGCAUUAAGUGUUCCGCCUGGGGAGUACGACCGCAAGGUUAAAACUCAAAGGAAUUGACAGGGGCCCGCACAAGCGGUGGAGCAUGUGGUUUAAUUCGACGCAACGCGAAGAACCUUACCUGGAUUUGACAUCCCGAGAAGUCUUUUUGAAAGAAAGAUGUGCCCUUCGGGGAACUCGGA